rnacentral:rRNA from 1 species
AUGAAGCGGAAGUUCAUUAUGAUGCCAGUCCUCAUCCAAGGCCCUAAGAAACCCGGCAACGACAUUGAUGUGUACCUAAGGCCAUUAGUUGAAGAACUCUUACAACUGUGGAAUGGAACAGGUGUACAUGCGUGGGAUGAGCACAUGGGGGAAGAAUUUGACCUAAAGGAGUUGCUGUUUGUGACCAUCAAUGAUUGGCCUGCUCUCAGUAACCUUUCAGGACAGACAAACAAGGGAUACCGCGGAUACACGCACUGUUUGGAUGAUACCGACAGUAUAUAUUUGAAUAGUUGUAAGAAGAAUGUGUACCUGGGACAUCGUCGAUUUCUUCCGAGCAGGCAUCCCGUAAGAAUGAAAGGUAAGCAUUUAAAAGGUGAGGCGGAUCACCGGACGAAGCCUCGCCACCGUACUGGUGCUGAUGUACAUGAUAUGGUCAAGGAUUUGAAGGUAAUCUUUGGAAAGGGUCCUGGCGGACAACCUGUUCCGAAGGACACUGACGGACGCGCACCCAUGUGCAAGAAGAAAUCUAUAUUUUGGGACCUGCCAUAUUGGAAAGACCUAGAGGUCCGCUCCGCAAUCGACGUGAUGCACGUGACGAAGAAUCUUUGCGUGACCCUGCUUGGAUUUUUGGGCGUGUAUGGGAAGACAAAAGAUACACCAGAGGCAUGGGAGGACCAACAACGUAUGCACGGAAAAGACGACAUACAUCAGGGUCAGGCCAGCUACGCUCUUACCAAAGAAGAGAAGGAAAUCUUCUUUGAAUGCCUGCUCAGCAUGAAGGUACCGUCUGGCUUCUCGUCGAAUAUAAAGGGAAUAAUAAAUAUGGCAGAGAAAAAGUUCCAGAACCUAAAGUCUCAUGACUGCCACAUGAUUAUGACGCAACUCCUUCCGGUUGCAUUAAAGGGGCUUCUACCGGAAAAUGUUUGA